UAUUAUCUGCUUUUUGAGAGGAUGAGAACCGACCAGAGGUUCGAGCCGAGCGCAGCGAGACAACGUUGCUUUAGCAACGACCCGCAGGGCGAGCAUGAAAUGCGAGUAAUCCUCUCUCGCCGACCA
rnacentral:sRNA from 1 species